ACAGUUCCUACUAGACCAGGGCCAGAACAGUUUCUACUAGACCAGGGUCAGAUCCAGAACAGUUCCUACUAGGCCAGGGUCAGAUCCAGAACAGUUCCUACUAGGCCAGGGUCAGAUCCAGAACAGUUUCUACUAGACCAGGGUCAGAUCCAGAACAGUUCCUACUAGACCAGGGCCAGAACAGUUCCUACUAGACCAGGGUCAGAUCCAGAACAGUUCCUACUAGACCAGAUCCAGAACAGUUCCUACUAGACCAGAUCCAGAACAGUUCCUACUAGACCAGGGGCAGCUAACAGCUGAGCCCCAAAACAGCUCUUCUUCUCUCAUUCUCACCCUCCCUCUGUUCCACUAGACUUCCGGUCAUGUGUUCUGUCUGUCGGUAUGAACAUCUGCUUUCCCUUUAACAUAUCUGUCCCAUGCGUUUUAUCUAACUGUAGUAUCAUUGAAUCAGCUCAGCAGCUCAUAUUCCUGUGCAAACACCAGAGGUGACAGAAAGUUGUUAUCUGGGGGUGUGUGGUUCCAGAAUGUACUAGUGUUGAUAACUCACUGAUAUCCGGAUUGGUUAUCCAAGUCACUGUGAUAUGUCGUCAGGGGUUACCAAAGAACUAAGGUUUCAUAUCUGCUGUUUUAACUGGUGUGUGUGUGUGUGUGUGUGUGUGUGUGUGUGUGUGUGUGUGUGUGUGUGUGUGUGUGUGUGUGUGUGUGUGUGUGUGUGUGUGUGUGUGUGUGUGUGUGUGUGUGUGUGUGUGUGUGUGUGUGUGUGUGUGUGUGUGUGUGUGUGUGUGUGUGUGUGUGUGUGUGUGUGUGUGUGUGUGUGUGUGUGUACAUAUGAUAUGUGUGUCAGAGUAAACAUAGUGCCUCGGCCACGAGUCCUCAUGAACCUUUGGGCCGUCUGCAAACAAAUAAUGAAUUGAACAUGAAUUCAUGAAUCAUGAAUUUGAAGAUGUACAGUACGUAUGACUGUGGUUGCUAUGGUGCCCAUGUAGGCUUCAUUAGCCUGUUGUUGUUGUUGUUGGUGGGGGUGGUGGUGUACUGUAACACUGUGGAAUGACAGAUAACCCACCCACUGAAACUAUUGGGACUGUUGCCAUUGCUGACUGACUGAAUCAUGCUUCUUGCACUGGAGUGGAUCAACAAGACUUCUGUCUUCCAUUCAGGACAAAUGAAACGUAUCCUAUCUGUGCGUGUUUCUCAGUUUCUCCACUGUCCUACAUUGUGCCUCUCAAGGGGAUGGAAACUGAGGCGUCCAUGUUGGAUCUAUGCUGUGUCAACUAUCUGAAUUAAGCGACUAGGCUUCCUCUGGGUCGUAUUCACUAGGCACAACAUGGAAGAAAACAGACUGAAAAGGGGAAGGAGUACAUGAACUUGUCCAAUAAGAAACUUGCUGUUUUUGUUUUGCGAAACAUUUUCCGUUGCGGAACGUUUUGCUGUGGUGUAUGUACACGAAUGAAUAUGAUCCCAGUUGUGAGGAUUACUUCACUGAGUAUACAAAACAUUAAGAACACCUGCUCUUUCCGUGAGAUAGACUGACCAGGUGAAUCCAGGUGACAGCAGUCCCUUCUUGAUGUCACUUGUAGAUGAAGGGGAGGAGACGGGUUAAAGAAGGAUUUUUAGGCCCUGAGACAUGGAUUGUGUAUGUGUGCCAUUCCUAGGGUGACAAAAGAUUGAAGUGCCUUUUGAACGGGAUAUGGUAGUAAGUUCCAGGGGUACCGGUUUGUGUCAAGAACUGCAACGCUGCUUGGUUUUUCCACACGCAACAGUUUCCUGUGUCAAUCAAGUAUUUUCCACCACCCAAAGGACAUCCAGCCAACUUGACACAACUGUGGGAAGCAUUGGAGUCAACAUGGGCCAGCAUCCCUGUGGAACGCUUUCAACUCCUUGUAGAGUCAACAUGGGCCAGCAUCCCUGUGGAACGCUUUCAACUCCUUGUAGAGUCAACAUGGGCCAGCAUCCCUGUGGAACGCUUUCAACUCCUUGUAGAGUCAACAUGGGCCAGCAUCCCUGUGGAACGCUUUCAACUCCUUGUAGAGUCAACAUGGGCCAGCAUCCCUGUGGAACGCUUUCAACUCCUUGUAGAGUCAACAUGGGCCAGCAUCCCUGUGGAACGCUUUCAACUCCUUGUAGAGUCAACAUGGGCCAGCAUCCCUGUGGAACGCUUUCAACUCCUUGUAGAGUCAACAUGGGCCAGCAUCCCUGUGGAACGCUUUCAACUCCUUGUAGAGUUCAUGCCCUGAGAAUUUAGGCUGUUCUGAGGGCAAAAGGAGGUGCAACUCAAUAUUAGUAAGGUGUUCUUAAUGUUUUGUACACUCAGUGUAUACUAUAAUGCAUUGUCCCUCUCAAGAGAGUGGAAACUGAGGCUAGACUGGGCUGGCUGGCUGGCCUGAUGCAUUAUGACCUGAAGCUCACAGGCAUUUACAAUUCCCUCCACCAAUCCCCUGGCCUGUUACUGAUAGGUUGAAUGCCCUCCUCCAAUCCCCUGGCCUGUUACUGUUAGGUUGAAUGCCCUCCACCAAUCCCCUGGCCUGUUACUGUUAGGUUGAAUGCCCUCCACCAAUCCCCUGGCCUGUUACUGUUAGGUUGAAUGCCCUCCACCAAUCCCCUGGCCUGUUACUGUUAGGUUGAAUGCCCUCCACCAAUCCCCUGGCCUGUUACUGUUAGGUUGAAUGCCCUCCACCAAUCCCCUGGCCUGUUACUGUUAGGUUGAAUGACUAACGAUGAACCCUACCUACAGUGAUUUGCUCUGACAGAAUUUUCUAUGUUAAUUUGACUAAUGAGUAACAUUUAAGUAUUUUUUUAGAGAUACUCAUGUCAACAAAUGAAUUUAGUUUAUUUUACAGGGAGAGGUGUAUGAACAGGGGAUGGACACUAUGAGGAAAUGGGAGGGGAGAGAUGAUGUCAAAUAGUUUUAUAACCUGAAUGAUGAACCAUGUUUCUGACAUUUUGUAUUUUAUUGGAGCUGUGGAUGUGGCUAGCUCUGGUCCAGGGGGUUAGUGCAUUCCUCGCUGACGCCCUGGACCAGAGCUAGUUGUGGCGAACUGUGGUAGAGAGAAAUAUCAUUUUAAAAUGCUGUAAUUUCAAGUAAAUAAGAAAAGAAACCCAAGACCUUACUUUAAAGACAAGAUCAAAGCUGCUCUCCCUAAUGAGGAGUUGUACAUAUAAAUGUAUUAUUUGCAAUAUUAUAAUGUACAGAAUUGUAUUUAUAAUGUACCUCAACAAACUGUUUUAAUUGGUACAAAGAUGUUCUAGAAUACAGGACGUUUACAAUCUAAA